GAUGAACGCUGGCGGCGUGCCUAAUACAUGCAAGUAGAACGCUGAAGGAGGAGCUUGCUCUUCUGGAUGAGUUGCGAACGGGUGAGUAACGCGUAGGUAACCUGCCUGGUAGCGGGGGAUAACUAUUGGAAACGAUAGCUAAUACCGCAUGACAACAGUUAUUGCAUGAUAACUGUUUAAAAGGGGCAACUGCUCCACUACCAGAUGGACCUGCGUUGUAUUAGCUAGUUGGUGAGGUAACGGCUCACCAAGGCGACGAUACAUAGCCGACCUGAGAGGGGGAUCGGCCACACUGGGACUGAGACACGGCCCAGACUCCUGCGGGAGGCAGCAGUAGGGAAUCUUCGGCAAUGGACGGAAGUCUGACCGAGCAACGCCGCGUGAGUGAAGAAGGUUUUCGGAUCGUAAAGCUCUGUUGUAAGAGAAGAACGAGUGUGAGAGUGGAAAGUUCACACUGUGACGGUAUCUUACCAGAAAGGGACGGCUAACUACGUG
rnacentral:rRNA from 1 species